rnacentral:rRNA from 1 species
CAGCCGCCACGGUAAUACGUAGGUGGCAAGCGUUGUCCGGAAUUAUUGGGCGUAAAGCGCGCGCAGGUGGUUUAAUAAGUCUGAUGUGAAAGCCCACGGCUCAACCGGGGAGGGUCAUUGGAAACUGGGAAACUUGAGUGCAGAAGAGGAGAGUGGAAUUCCACGUGUAGCGGUGAAAUGCGUAGAGAUGUGGAGGAACACCAGUGGCGAAGGCGACUCUCUGGUCUGUAACUGACGCUGAGGAGCGAAAGCGUGGGGAGCGAACAGGAUUAGAUACCCCUGUAGUCCCUGUCUCUUAUAC